UGGUUACCUUACAAAGACCAUUUUAUAUCUUCAUGUAAAUGCAAACAAGCUAAGAAACUUUGAACAAGCUACCCAGUUGUGUUGAAUACUUUUGUUAAUUUAUCAAUAUUUUAAAUAUGAGGGAGAUCUUCGAAAUGAAAGUUGCUGGUUCUUGGCUCUACUCAAGCAAAACCAAGCCCUCAGCACUCUGCAGAGCACGCAGGACUUUACAUCAGUUCAUUAAAGAGAAAGGAAACUUAACUUCUAUGGAAACAAGAGCAGCUUUGUGAAAGGAGAAUUUAGUGGCUUCUGCAAUCUGCAUGACAUUUUACAGACGUAAAGGGAAAGGAAGUUAAAAACCAUUGAACUGAUAUUGGGAAGCACCGGCCAUCUGGAAAAGAAUUUCAUUGUCAUGAUUUCCAGUGCAGAGCUGCAGGAGUACUUAGAUAACCUUCAGAGAAAAAGUAGUCCUACAUACUGUUGUGAAACACAUUUCUAAACUCUAAGGUUUGUCACCAGUAUUUGGCAAGCUGUGUUAUUUCUGGACUAGUCAUUACAUUAUUUACUUCUCUGCACCACAGCUGCCUCCAUCCCUGUACAAUGAUUUAAAACUAAAUAAUGUUGUAGUGUGUGUUAUAACAAAGAUAGAUUUGCAGAGAAAAUAAUGCCAGCUGUCUAGAAGGUCUUAAAUACUUGUGUUCAUGGUCAUCAUGAGUGAUCAGAUAUAGUUUUCUGCUCUUCUUUUUCCGCACAAUUCUGGAAGAGUAGUGAUACACAUUCUGCUUUCAAUUAAUAUUUAUUAAAAUCAGAACAAAAUAUCUUCCAGAAGGUUUUAUAGGGAAAAGAAAAAAUAAGAACCAUUUAUGGAAUCAAGGUCAAGUAUCAACAAGUUUCAUUUUGACUUAUGCAGGCAAUGUAAGUGAGUAGAUAGGUCAUACUGUGAGCAGAGGAACGUGAUUCAAUCUGUUUACAGUGUGAGAGAAAAUGGACAACCCAGUAUAACAGAUGAAGGUUCUGGUAAGUGGGGAUGUGUUGGACACUUCAGUUAGGGUUCAAUUCAGGUGCAUCAACAUAGACACCUAAUAUUGUCUGUAUUACAUUACAGCAUUCCAGACAUGUUCAGCUUUAGUUAAGUGGCUUUUAGCCAUCUAGAAUAAGAUGUUUUCUCUGCUUGAAAAGCCCAAGAAGCUGAAAAAAAAUUGAAUUUCUGAUAAAAUUACAUGAAUCUGUGAUAGCCAGUGUU